rnacentral:rRNA from 1 species
GUUUAUCAAAAACAUGGCUUUUAGAAUUUAAUUUAAAGUCUAACCUGCCCACUGAAUUAUUUAAAUGGCCGCAGUAUAUUAACUGUGCAAAGGUAGCAUAAUCAUUAGUUUUUUAAUUGAAAGCUGGAAUGAAUGGUUGAAUGAAAUAUUAUCUGUUUCAUAUAUAAUGUAAAUAAAAUUUUAUUUUUUAGUUAAAAAGCUAAAGUAAUUUUAAUAGACGAGAAGACCCUAUAAAUCUUUUUAUUUUAUUGGGGUGAUAUUAAAAUUUAUAAAACUUUUAAUUAAAAAUUUACGUAAAUUAAUGGGUUAUUGAUCCUUAAAUUAUGAUUAAAAAAAUAAGUUACUUUAGGGAUAACAGCGUAAUUUUUUUAGAGAGUUCAUAUUGAUAAAAAAGAUUGCGACCUCGAUGU